UAGUCAUAUGCUUGUCUUAAAGACUAAGCCAUGCAUGUCUAAGUAUAAGCACUUAUACAGCAAAACUGCGAAUGGCUCAUUAAAUCAGUUAUAAUUUAUUUGAUGUAAAUACCACUUGGAUAACCGUGGUAAAACUAGAGCUAAUACAUGCGUAAAAACCUGACUGGGAACGGAAAGGUUGUAUUUAUUAGAUACAAAACCAAUACUUUAAUGGGGGUAACUUUAUUAAAGUUCAAAUUGGUGAUUCAUAGUAAUUAAACUAAUCGUAUAGUCUUUUGUACUGACGAUAGUUCAUUCAAAUAUCUGCCCUAUCAACUUUCGAUGGUAGUAUAGAGGACUACCAUGGUGGUAACGGGUAACGGAGAAUCAGGGUUUGAUUCCGGAGAAGGAGCCUGAGAAACGGCUACUACUUCCAAGGAAGGCAGCAGGCGCGCAAAUUACCCAAUCCCAAAACGGGGAGGUAGUGACAAUAAAUAACAAUAUUGGAUUUUAUAAAAAAUCUAAUAAUUGGAAUGAGUACAAUCUAAACCCCUUAACGAGUAUCAAUU
rnacentral:rRNA from 1 species